CACUAAUUAAAAUAAACAUAGUUUGUCAUCCUUUGUUAUGACCUGCAGUCGCUCUUAAGGCUUAAGGUGAAGAUGGUGGACGAUAGCUAUUGGGGUUGGAGUAUGACGGUCGGGGAGUCACAAAACAAUUGAGAAGAAGAAAAAUUUGGAUUGAACCAGCCCAGCCGAGCCGAUCGAUCAUAAAGCAGGAAGAGGUGACAGAGUUUCUCCUUCAAUCCACCUAUUAAGAAGUUGGCCUUGGAAAUCAGACACGCGAUGGAUUCUUUAUACUUGGUAAUUGAUUGCAACACAGAUCCUUCAAUCUUCCACUCUGUUCAUAUCUCACGAGUGGGAAGACCAGCCGUAUCUGAUGGGUGCUUGCGUUUCAAGUCAUGAUAAAGCAAGGUACAAGUGUCGUUUGAUUCUACUAACAAUAAACCUGAUCAUAAGCUGGUGGUUUGCUAUUUCUUCAUCACUGCGAUCAUCAUAAUGGUACGUUUUCUCUCUAUUUUAGGGUUUUAAGGCUUGGUCCUGCUAUAUUGGAUCUUUUUUUGAAGGUUCAAUUCUUAGAUUUCUUGCAAUUAUUCCGAAUCCCUAACUAUGGAUUUCUUAAUUUUGCAGGAUUAAACCUUAUAUUCCUAAUAAAAACCACACCAGGCCAAGAAAAAAAUAACCUGUUUUAUCAAAAGAAAUUCUUAAUCAAGUUUUAGUAUUGCUUCAUUACUAAGAUUGUAAGGAUCUUAAUAUUUUUUUGUUGUUAAUUGUUUGUAGACUUUGGUUGCCCUUAAAGAUGAGGUGAUUGUAAUAAUGGAUGAACAAUAUGAUUUGAAAAGGUAUGUUGAAGUGCAUCUGUUUAGUAUGUGCAAACAUUUUCACAUUUAGCGUUUAUGUGGGGCUCAGAUGAUAUUUUUAAUAGUAGUUGAAUACUUGAAUUAUGAAAAAGGUUAAUGGGUUAACCAUAGUCGGCAAAUGUCAUUGAGGAUGAGCCAUUUGAAACUUCACCUAUAUGUUAUCAGGUUCGAAUUUCUCUAUUUCUGUGAAAUUGUUUUGCCGGAUUUUUAGUUGAUGCCGACUUUUGGUAAUAUUGGUUGUUUAGGUUUGGUAGUUUGAAACGUUAAACAAAUCUUACAUGUUGUAAGGGGUGUUUUGAUGUUUUCUAAAUCAGUUUGAACAAGUUGCUUUACAUGCAUAUAACAUGUUCGAUGAAAUGCCUAAAAGAGAGCUUGUGAUGGCUUUUCCCAACUUUUUGAUACUGAUACAGAAGAUUCCUCUAUUUUAUGCUUGAGUAAUUCACAUACGAGGCAAGCUUUUGUUUAAUAUAACGUAGUCAAAGGAUGCCAUAACUCUUUGGGUUACAUUUUAUUUUGUAUUGUGUUGAUGUGUUUCUAUUAGAGGUGGCACUUUCAACCGGUUUAGGAAUAAAGGGGUCGAUGUGGGUUAAGUUUUUCACAAAUGGGUCAAUGGGUCCAUAUUAGAAAUGCGCCUAAAAAGGUGACACGACAAACGGUUAAGUGUAAUUUUGUGCGUACAACUUAAUAAAUAUUUUUUUUUUAAAUGAACGAGGCCAGUGUAGGAUUGUUAAGUGGGUCGUGUCCGCGAGGUUGAACCCGGCUUAAACCUGAAUAUGAGUAUAUGACACAGACCUGAAAACUUUGCUUGACACAUGAACCUGAACACGAUACGAAUUUCUUGGGCUGACAUAAAUGCGAAACUUUUAACCUGAAAUUUUGUAUUAUUUUAUCAUCUUGCAUAUUAAUAAUCUAAAAUUACAAUUAUAAACUAUAGAAGCUAAUGCUCAUCUCUAAUUUAUCUAUUAAAUUUUAGUGUAAAUUUCUCAACUUAUUUACGUUAUUAUAUAUCAUAAAUACAUUUUAAAGUUUAUACAAAUAUAUGGGUCAACCUGUCUGGAUUCAUUGGCAAAAAGAAUGCACCUGAACGGUCUUAUUCGUUAAUGGGUGCGGUCGGUUCGAUUCUGUCUGGAUUCAUUGGCAAAAUCUCAAGUUACAUGUGGUGGUGUUGAUAAUUGUGUAGACCAUUAAAAACAUGAUCCCUUUUGUUGCCUCGUGUAUUUUAAAUAGACGGUUUCCACUUUCUGGCAUCUUUUUUUCAUUUCAGGUAGUUCGGGCCCCCGCCGCAACGCGCGCGCGUUACCACUAUAACGUAUAAAAAAUAUAUUUGGACAAAUGUUCUGGGUCAAACCGGCAUGACACAUCACAACUGUUACCCAACUUGCAGAUUUUACCAUCUUUAAUUACUGUAAAGUGUAAUGUUUUUAAUAUUAUUGUUUUAUGGUUGUGGUGAAUGCAGGCGAUUAAAGCUCUCAGAACUCAUUCCAGUUUAAAGAGGCUUGUGUUAGUUUCCAUCUUUCACAGUUCUUUAUAUUAUUCAUAGCAAUAUAUAUGAUACUCAGCUAAAUUCAUUUCACUUUGAUUCGUAGUUUCAUGUAAUUCUAAGAGUUUAAUGGCAAAUUAUGGUAUGCCAAGUGAUAAAGUUGUGCAGGUACCUCUUUAUAUAUUAUUAAUUGUUAAUGCUAAUAUUGGUUGCAUUCAGCAAUUUGAUUUUGUUUGUCUGUUUAUUCAUUUCUAUGUAAUUGGGGGCUUACCUAUGUUCAAGAUGCUUUGUUUCAAAUCACAGGGAAACUUCGAGAAAAAUAUUUAUUUAAAGUAUUACUUUCAGCUUCAAAGUGGAGAGAGUCGUCAUCUACCGAGCAUGUGGAAUAUGAUCACGCCUUCCAAAGCAUGAGGAUUUCAGUGGGUUCGAGGUUAACUUUGGUGGACUAUCGAGACAAGACUGGAUGCAAUCUGGUCGACUAAAUGCCGCUCCAAGUGCUUCAUUCAUUCUCUACGGGUGCAUUCAAACAAAUAAUGGAUGGUUCUCUCAGGGAUGGGGUAUACGAAUACCCCUCUGUUGAUUAUGUAUUUUUAAGUCUGGCUUGGUAAAUGGUGUGUGUAAAAGUUUAUUAUGAUUCAAGGUAUUCUGUUUUUACGUGAUUUACUAGGGUGCUAUUUUGGUGGU